UACGUGGGUGGCAAGCGUUGUCCGGAUUUACUGGGCGUAAAGAGCGCGCAGGCGGUCGUUCAAGUCGGGUGUGAAAGCCCCCGGCUCAACUGGGGAGGGUCACGCGAUACUGGUCGACUCGAAGGCAGGAGAGGGAAGUGGAAUUCCCGGUGUAGUGGUGAAAUGCGCAGAUAUCAGGAAGAACACCCGUGGCGAAGGCGGUUCUCUGGGACGGUACUGACGCUGAGACGCGAAAGCGUGGGGAGCGAACAGG
rnacentral:rRNA from 1 species